rnacentral:misc_RNA from 1 species
GAUGAAGAACGCAGCGAAAUGCGAUAAGUAAUGUGAAUUGCAGAAUUCAGUGAAUCAUCGAAUCUUUGAACGCACAUUGCGCCCGCCAGCACUCUGGCGGGCAUGCCUGUCCGAGCGUCAUUUCAACCCUCAGGGCCCCUUCGGGGGACCUGGCGUUGGGGAUCGGCCCGCCCCCGUGCGGCGCCGUCCCCGAAAUAUAGUGGCGGUCUCGCUGCAGCCUCCCCUGCGUAGUAGCACACCUCGCACUGGAGAGCGGCGCGGCCACGCCGUGAAACCCCCAACUUCUGAAUGUUGACCUCGGAUCAGGUAGGAAUACCCGCUGAACUUAAGCAUAUCAAAGCGGAGA